rnacentral:rRNA from 1 species
AGUGAACGCUGGCGGUAGGCCUAACACAUGCGAGUCGAACGGCAGCACAGUAAGAGCUUGCUCUUACGGGUGGCGAGUGGCGGACGGGUGAGGAAUACAUCGGAAUCUACUUUUUCGUGGGGGAUAACGUAGGGAAACUUACGCUAAUACCGCAUACGACCUACGGGUGAAAGCAGGGGAUCUUCGGACCUUGCGCGAUUGAAUGAGCCGAUGUCGGAUUAGCUAGUUGGCGGGGUAAAGGCCCACCAAGGCGACGACCCGUAGCUGGUCUGAGAGGAUGAUCAGCCACACUGGAACUGAGACACGGUCCAGACUCCUACGGGAGGCAGCAGUGGGGAAUAUUGGACAAUGGGCGCAAGCCUGAUCCAGCUAUACCGCGUGGGUGAAGAAGGCCUUCGGGUUGUAAAGCCCUUUUGUUGGGAAAGAAAAGCAGCAGGUUAAUACCCCGCUGUUCUGACGGUACCCAAAGAAUAAGCACCGGCUAACUUCGUG